UACGAAGGGGGCUAGCGUUGCUCGGAAUCACUGGGCGUAAAGGGCGCGUAGGCGGCGUUUUAAGUCGGGGGUGAAAGCCUGUGGCUCAACCACAGAAUGGCCUUCGAUACUGGGACGCUUGAGUAUGGUAGAGGUUGGUGGAACUGCGAGUGUAGAGGUGAAAUUCGUAGAUAUUCGCAAGAACACCGGUGGCGAAGGCGGCCAACUGGACCAUUACUGACGCUGAGGCGCGAAAGCGUGGGAGCAA
rnacentral:rRNA from 1 species